AUGAACGCUAGCGACAGGCUUAACACAUGCAAGUCGAGGGGCAUCAUGAGGUAGCAAUACCUUGAUGGCGACCGGCGCACGGGUGAGUAACGCGUAUGCAACCUGCCCGAUACCGGGGUAUAGCCCAUGGAAACGUGGAUUAACACCCCAUAGUACUUUUAUCCUGCAUGGGAUGUGAGUUAAAUGUUUAAGGUAUCGGAUGGGCAUGCGUCCUAUUAGUUAGUUGGCGGGGUAACAGCCCACCAAGACGAUGAUAGGUAGGGGUUCUGAGAGGAAGGUCCCCCACAUUGGAACUGAGACACGGUCCAAACUCCUACGGGAGGCAGCAGUGAGGAAUAUUGGUCAAUGGACGUAAGUCUGAACCAGCCAAGUCGCGUGAGGGAAGACUGCCCUAUGGGUUGUAAACCUCUUUUAUAAGGGAAGAAUAAGUUCUACGUGUAGAAUGAUGCCUGUACCUUAUGAAUAAGCAUCGGCUAACUCCGUGCCAGCAGCCGCGGUAAUACGGAGGAUGCGAGCGUUAUCCGGAUUUAUUGGGUUUAAAGGGUGCGUAGGCGGUUUAUUAAGUUAGUGGUUAAAUAUUUGAGCUAAACUCAAUUGUGCCAUUAAUACUGGUAAACUGGAGUACAGACGAGGUAGGCGGAAUAAGUUAAGUAGCGGUGAAAUGCAUAGAUAUAACUUAGAACUCCGAUAGCGAAGGCAGCUUACCAGACUGUAACUGACGCUGAUGCACGAGAGCGUGGGUAGCGAACAGGAUUAGAUACCCUGGUAGUCCACGCCGUAAACGAUGCUCACUGGUUCUGUGCGAUAUAUUGUACGGGAUUAAGCGAAAGUAUUAAGUGAGCCACCUGGGGAGUACGUCGGCAACGAUGAAACUCAAAGGAAUUGACGGGGGCCCGCACAAGCAGUGGAGUAUGUGGUUUAAUUCGAAGCAACGCGAAGAACCUUACCAGGUCUUGACAUCGAUAUAAAGGCGUUAGAGAUAGCGAGAUAGGAAUAUAUCAGACAGGUGGUGCAUGGUUGUCGUCAGCUCGUGCCGUGAGGUGUCGGGUUAAGUCCCAUAACGAGCGCAACCCUUACCGUUAGUUGCUAGCAUGUAAUGAUGAGCACUCUAACGGGACUGCCACCGUAAGGUGAGAGGAAGGCGGGGAUGACGUCAAAUCAGCACGGCCCUUACACCCAGGGCUACACACGUGUUACAAUGGCCGGUACAGAGGGCCGCUACCAGGUGACUGGAUGCCAAUCUCAAAAGCCGGUCGUAGUUCGGAUUGGAGUCUGUAACCCGACUCCAUGAAGUUGGAUUCGCUAGUAAUCGCGCAUCAGCCAUGGCGCGGUGAAUACGUUCCCGGGCCUUGUACACACCGCCCGUCAAGCCAUGGAAGCCGGGGGUGCCUGAAGUCCGUAACCGCGAGGAUCGGCCUAGGGCAAAACUGGUAACUGGGGCU
rnacentral:rRNA from 1 species